AAGUGGAGGGGGGCGUGGCUUAAGAGCUUAUAGGGGAUAUGGAGGGGGCGGUGGACUUUAGAGGCUUCCAUUGGGGAUAAUGAGGGGGCGUGGCUUAGAGCUCCCACUGGAUAUAAUGGAGGGGGCGUGGCUUAGAGCUCCCAUUUAUGAUAAUGAGGGGGCGUGGCUUAAGAGCAUCAUUGGAUAUAAUGGAGGGGGCGUGGCUUAGAGCUCCCAUUGGGGACAUAACGUUGGAGGGGGCGUGGCUUAGAUCUCUCCGUUUAUGAGUAAUGAGCGGGGCGUGGCUUAGAGCUCCCAUUGGGGAUAAUUGAGGGGGCGUGGCUUAAAACUCCCGUUUAUUAUAAUGAGGGGGCGUAGCUUAGAGCUCCCAUAGGGGAUAAUGAGGGGGCGUGGUUGAAGCCUCCCACUGGCAUAUACAUGGGAGGGGGCGCGGCUUAGAGGCUUCAUCGGGGAUGAUGGAGGGGGCGUGGGCUUAGGAGCUCCAUAGGGGGAAUAAUGAAGGGGGGCCGGUGGCUUGAGAGCUCCAUUGGAUAUAAUGGAGGGGGUGUGGCGUUUAAGCUCCAUAGGGGAUAAUGGAGGGAGCGUGGCUUAGAGCUCGCCAUAGGGGAAUAAUGGAGGGGUGUGGCUUAGAGUUCCAUAGGGGAUAAUGGAGGGGGCGUGGCUUAGAGUUCCAUAGGGGAUAAUAGAGGGGGCGUGGCUUAGAGCUCCAUUGGGGAUAAUUGAGAAGGCCGUGGCUUAGAGCUCCCGUUAUGAUAAAUGAGGGGGCGUGGCUUAGAGCUCCCAUUGGGGAUAGAUGGAGGGGGGCGGUGGNNNNNNNNNNNNNNNNNNNNNNNNNGGGGCCAUAUGUGUGUGGGGGGGGCCCUAUAAGCACGUAAUCCCACCCACAUGACCCCCCCUGUCCGUCCCCCCCCUUUAAUCCCCAUUGCUGAUCCCAUUUACACGGAUCUAUGGGGGUAUUUUGGGAUCACGGCGGCCCCAUAAGCCCCAUAGAAUGAGUGGGGGGGGGGCACCCCAUAGAACAUCCCCUGUCUCCUUCUUGUUUGGUCCCCCACCCCAUAGCACAGUAAUGGGGCCCAAUUCUCAGGCCUCAGCCCCGGUUCUGGUUCUGGACCCAAUUUUCAGUCCCCAUUUGGGUUCUGGACCCUAUUUCCAGCCCUGGUUUUGGGUUCUGGUUCUGGUCCCUAUUUCCAGCCCUGGUUUUGGGUUCUGGUUCUGGUCCAAUUUUCAGUCCCCAUUUGGGUUCUGGUCCCUAUUUUCAGCCCUGGUUUUGGGUUCUGGUUCUGGUCCAGAUUUUCAGUCCCUAUUUUCAGUCCCCAUUUGGGUUCUGGUCCCUAUUUUCAGUCCCUAUUUGGGUUCCAGUUCUGUUCCCUAUUUCCAGUCCCUAUUUUCAGUUCUCAUUUGGGUUCUGGUUCUGCUCCCUAUUUUCAGACCCAAUUUUCAGUCCCUAUUUUGGGUUCUGGUUCUGUUCUGGACUUUCAGAUCCAAUUUUCAGUCCUUAUUUUGGGUUCUGGUUCUGGUCCCUAUUUCCAGCCCUGGUUUUGGGUUCUGGUUCUGGUCCAAUUUUCAGUCCCCAUUUGGGUUCUGGUUCUGGUCCCCAUUUCCAGUCCCUAUUUUCAGUCCCUAUUUGGGUUCUGGUUCCGUUCUGUAUUUUCAGAUCCAGUUUUCAGUCCCCAUUUGGGCCCUGGUUCUGGUCCAGAUUUUCAGUCCCCAUUUGGGUUCCGGUUCUGGUCCCUAUUUCCAGUCCCUAUUUUCAGUCCCUAUUUGGGUUCUGGUUCUGGUCCCUAUUUUCAGCCCUGGUUUUGGGUUCUGGUUCUGGUCCAGAUUUUCAGUCCCUAUUUUCAGUCCCUAUUUGGGUUCUGGUUCUGGUCCCUAUUUCCAGCCCUGGUUUUGGGUUNNNNNNNNNNNNNNNNNNNNNNNNNNNNNNNNNNNNNNNNNNNNNNNNNNNNNNNNNNNNNNNNNNNNNNNNNNNNNNNNNNNNNNNNNNNNNNNNNNNNNNNNNAUUUUCAGUCCCCAUUUGGGUUCUGGUUCUGAUCCUCAUUUUCAGCCCCAAUUUUCAGUCCCUAUUUGGGUCCUGGUUCCGUUCUGUAUUUUCAGGUCCAAUUUUCAGUCCCCAUUUGGGUUCCGGUUCUGGUCCCUAUUUCCAGUCCCUAUUUCCAGUCCCUAUUUGGGUUCUGGUUCUGGUCCCCAUUUUCAGUUCCCAUUUGGGUUCUGGUCCCUAUUUCCAGUCCCUAUUUCCAGUCCCUAUUUUCAGUCCCUAUUUGGGUUCCGGUUCUGUUCCGUAUUUUCAGAUCCAAUUUUCAGUCCCCAUUUGGUUCUGGUUCUGAUCCCCAUUUUCAGCCCAUUUCCACUCCCGAGGUUCGGUUCCGGUUCGGUUCUGAUUCCCUCUCCCCAUUCCCAUCCCCAUUCACUUCCCCUCCCCCGGUUCGGUUCCGGUUCCGGUUCGUCUCCCCAUCCAUCCCAUCCCCAUUCCCUCCCGCUGUUCGGUUCCGGUUCCGGUUCGGUUCCGGUUCCGGUUCGGAUCCCCAUCCCAUUCCAUCCCCAUUUUGAGCCCCAAACUUCGGUUCUGGUUCCGGUUCGGUUCCCCAUUUCCAGGCCCUCGGUUCGGUUCCGGUUCCGGUUCGGAUCCCCAUUCCAUCCCCAUUUCCAGUCCCGUGGUUCGGUUCCGGUUCCGGUUCCAAUUCCCUCUCCAUCCCCAUUCCCUCCUGCAGUUCGGUUCCGGUUCCGGUUCGGUUCCGGUUCGGUUCCAGUUCGUCUCCCCAUUCCAUCCCCAUUCCCUCCUCCGGUCCUGUUCCGGUUCGGUUCCGGUUCCAGUUCGGUUCCGGUCCCUCUCCCCAUCCCAUCCCCAUUCCCCCUCCCGCUGUUCGGUUCCGGUUCGGUUCCGGUUCGGUUCCCCAUUCCCAUCCCCAUUCCCCCUCCCCAGGUUCUGUUCCGGUUCGGUUCCGGUUCCGGUUCUUCUCCCCAUCCCAUCCCCAUUCCCUCCCGCUGUUCGGUUCCGGUUCGGUUCCGGUUCCGGUUCGGUUCAGUUCCGGUUCGUCUCCCCAUUCCCAUCCCCAUUCCCCCUCCCCAGGUUCUGUUCCGGUUCGGUUCCGCUUCGGUUCCGGUUCCGGUUCGGUUCCGGUUCUGGUUCUGCUCCCCAUCCAUCCCGCCCCAUUCCCUCCCGCUGUUCGGUUCCGGUUCGGUUUCGGUUCCGGUUCGUCUCCCCAUUCCCAUCCCCAUUCCCCUCCCCCGGUUCGGUUCCAGUUCCGGUUCGGUUCCGGUUCUUCUCCCCAUCCCAUCCCCAUUCCCCCUCCCCAGGUUCUGUUCCGGUUCGGUUCCGGUUCCAGUUCGGUUCCGGUUCUUCUCCCCAUCCCAUCCCCAUUCCCUCCCGCGGUUCGGUUUCGUUUCCGGUUCGGUUCCGGUUCGGUUCUGGUUCUUCUCCCCAUCCCAUCCCCAUUUCCAGUCCCGCGGUUCGGUUCCGGUUCCGGUUCUUCUCCCCAUCCCAUCCCCAUUUCCCCUCCCCCGGUUCGGUUCCGGUUCCGGUUCUGGUUCCGAUUCCCUCUCCCCAUCCCAUCCCCAUUCCCCCUCCCGCGGUUCGGUUCUGGUUCCAGUUCCGGUUCCGGUUCGGAUCCCCAUUCCAUCCCCAUUUCCAGACCCGCAGUUCGGUUCCGGUUCCGGUUCGGUUCCGGUUCGGCUCCCCAUUCCCAUCCCCAUUCCAUCCCCAUUUCCCCUCCCCCGGUUCGGUUCUGGUUCCGGUUCGGUUCCCCAUUUCCAGUCCCGCGGUUCUGGUUCCGGUUCCGGUUCUUCUCCCCAUCCCAUCCCCAUUCCCUCCCGCGAUUCGGUUCCGGUUCCGGUUCGGUCCGGUUCCGGUUCUUCUCCCCAUUCCAUCCCCAUUCCCUCCCCCGGUCCUGUUCCGGUUCUGUUCCGGUUCCGGUUCUGUUCCGUUUCCGGUUCUGUUCCGUUUCCGGUUCUGUUCCG
ensembl:lncRNA